rnacentral:rRNA from 1 species
GGACUACCCGGGUAUCUAAUCCCGUUCGCUCCCCUAGCUUUCGCACCCGAGCGUCAGUGACUUCCCAGGAUGGUGCCUUCGCCUUUGGUGUUCUUCCGGAUCUCUACGCAUUUCACCACUCCACCCGGAAUUCCCCAUCCCUCUGAAGCCCUCAAGUCUGCCAGUUUCCGUAAGCCUGACCCGGUUAAGCCGGACCCUGUCCCUACAGACUAGACAGACCGCCUGCGUGCGCUUUACGCCCAGUAACUCCGGACAACGCUCGCCUCCUACGUAUUACCGCGGCUGCUGGCAC